UUGGAGUAGACUUGAGGUCCCAGAAUUCAGCAGGCAGAGCACAGAGCAGAGGGGAAGAUUCUGGAACCUGUGAAGUCUUGGAGUAGCUAUGGCAUCAGUGAAGGGAUCACAGAGGCCACUUGGUGGUCCUGGCAGGCAAAUCUCCUCAUGGUACCAGCUGAGAUGAGAGCUAGGCACAGAGAGGUUAAGAAGCUUGCCCAAGGUCACAAAGCAAGUGGCACAGCCUCCAAAGCUGACAAUCUUCUCACUGGUCCACAAUACAAAAAGCAAAAGCAACUUCAAUUUU